AUACUUACCUGGCAGGGGAGACACCAUGAUCACGAAGGUGGUUUUCCCAGGGCGAGGCUUAUCCAUUGCACUCCGGAUGUGCUGACCCCUGCAAUUUCCCCAAAUGUGGGAAACUCGACUGCAUAAUUUGUGGUAGUGGGGGACUGCGUUCGCGCUUUCCCCUA
rnacentral:snRNA from 1 species